CCUAGCCUCUCCCAUCGCACAUCAGCCUCAUCUCUCAAGCCCGAUCUUAACCCUCACCCUCCAAGCCUCCAUCUCUCAAGCCCUCACCCUCCAUCUCUCCGAUCUCAAGCUAGCCCUCACCCUCCACUUCCAAACCUUUCGUCUCCAACCUCUUGACAUGUCAAAUCUUUGGUUGUUUCGCAGAGAAUGUGAGAGAGAGAGAGAGAGAGCAAAACACAGAGAGCUGAAGGGAAAGAGAGGGAAGCUAAGAGAGGUAUCGUCUAGGCUCAGAGCGCCACCUUCCCUCAGGUUUCAUCUUUACAAGGAGAACACAGACACACAGGAGGCCUUAGGAGUGAUAGGAAAGAUGCUUGGCAUCCAGGUAACAGCUUUCAAGCAGCAUGCAAGUAGAUUAACUGCUCUUAAUGAAAGGUUGAUUGGUAUAUAUCAAAGUGGGUGACUUUUGCUAUGUUAAGGAAGGACUUCUUCUUGGCCAGCUCAUGGGAAACCGGUUUACAAUCACAUUGCGGUAAGGGUGUUUUCCUUGUUCACUAAACCAGUUUUAUUUUUAGUAAUAAAUAUUUCAUAUUUCUUUCUUAAAACAUCCAUGUCUCCGUUGGAGUAUAAUAAUGCACAUAUAGAUUACCAUGAAAAAAUCCAAUGAACCAAUUAAAUUAAACUAAUUUUGUCUUUGCUGCCUAUUUAAUUGAUUUGUUGCAUAUUGUCCAUUAGUUGUAUGUAAUU